GACAGAGGGUGCAAACGUUGUUCGGAAUCAUUGGGCGUAAAGAGCGUGUAGGCGGCCCGGUAAGUCCGCUGUAAAAGUCAAAGGCUCAACCUUUGAAUGUCAGUGGAUACUGCCGGGCUAGAGUCCGGAAGAGGCGAGUGGAACUCCUGGUGUAGCGGUGGAAUGCGCAGAUAUCAGGAAGAACACCAACGGCGAAGGCAGCUCGCUAGGACGGUACUGACGCUGAGACGCGAAAGCGUGGGGAGCGAACAGG
rnacentral:rRNA from 1 species